UACGGAGGAUGCGAGCGUUAUCCGGAUUUAUUGGGUUUAAAGGGUGCGUAGGCGGCUUAGUAAGUCAGCGGUGAAAUUUUGCAGCUUAACUGUAACAGUGCCGUUGAUACUGCCAGGCUAGGAUUUGGUUGCUGUGGGUGGAAUGUGUGGUGUAGCGGUGAAAUGCUUAGAUAUCACACAGAAUAUCAAUUGCGAAGGCAGUCUUCCAAGCCGUUAUUGACGCUCAACUGCGAAGGUGUGGGUAUCAAACAGGAUUA
rnacentral:rRNA from 1 species